AUGGGAGCAUCGGCCGGCGUGUUGAAGUCCAGGGGGAAGUUCUGUGUGCUCUGUUGGUUCCUUUGCUCUGCCCUCGACUCCCCUUGCGUCCCCUUCUGUAUAGAAUUUUCCUGUAUUUAUGUUGGAGUGCCGAUGCCUCCUGAUUUUGACAAACUAGAACGCUUUCAAGAUCUUGUGAAUGUUAUUUUUGAGAUACCAAAUCCUCUAGAAGAGCUUGCGAGUGUUGCUGUUAAUGAUAGCCAUGCUAGUGGCGAGGACAUUGCUGAUGUUGUGAAAAAUAUUAAUGAUGGAAUUUAUUCUCUUAAUUUUGGUGAUGGUGAUGGGAGCAUGCAGUUGUCUUUACAGCUGGAGGACGAAAGGAAAAGAAAGAAGAAGUGUGAUUUCCAGAGGAGAAAGGAGUUGGAACGGCGUCAAAAGGCUGCUUGUGUGCAACGAAGCGCUGAGGAUGUUGCUCAAGCUGCUAAAGGUGGAGGUGAUGAAGGUGGUGACGCGGCCUUUGCAACUGUUGAUGCUGGAUCUCAUGGAACUGACAUGCCUGUCAAGACAAACCUUUUGCAGACUCGCUUACCGCAAGUGUUUCCUCGUGAUGCAGUUAAGGAAAAGAAAGCUGUUUUGAAGAGGAAGAUGUCAGAUCCAAAUCCUGUUGGCACACAGAGGCGUAGCCCACAUGUGAAAGCUGGUUCCCAACCUAGUAAUAGCAAAGCUGAUGGAGAUAGUGUUGCUGUGAAGAUUGGUCCAUGCACACUUGGUGGCUCCCCUGAAAAUAAGAAGCGUAAAGUUGCUCCUGCGAAGGUGAACAAAGGUGUGAAGAAGCAUGCUCGUGUUGAAGCUGAAGAUCCUGCAUUAGAAGAAGAUGAUAUCGAAGUUGAUUCUGAGGAUGAAUAUGCACUACCUGUUAGCGUUAUGGGUCCGGUCAAGCCGGUGAGAGGCAAUGAUGGAAAAGUUGCUUUGGAUGAAGCUGGUUUUGGUUCUAUCUUCAAGUGGAAGGUGAAGUCUAACAUUUCCAACCCUCUGAUGGGAGUUUUGUACCUCAAGAUAGAUCCUGAUACGAUGACUCUUGACAUGGGUGAGGCUAAUAACAAGCUUCGCAUCACUGGCGAUGGUAUACAACAACUAUUUGGGUUCCCUCGUGGUGGUCGUUCUGCACCAAGGCCGUCAGAAGACGGAUAUGAUGACGCUCUGAUGGAGUUAAGAUCGGGGCUUGACAUUAGCAGGGACAGAGAUAUCAAGACGAAGGAUUUGAGGGAUAAGCUCAAGGUGCUUGUCAAGGAUCCUAGCAAAGAUGACCUUGCUCUAAAAGUGUUCUUCAUUAUUGUGUUUAUCAAAGUUGUGUUGCCUGGUGCCACCCCUCGUGUUUCCAGAGAGGCAACAAUGUUUGAGGAUCUCGUUAUUGAGGACAUGGCUAAUAUGGAUUAUUGCCAGCUAAUGGUUGAUGAGCUUAGAAGGGCUGUUGUCAGGUACCAAGAUGGUGUUACCCUUGGGAAGGCAAUCACAUGUUGUGCUAUAGGGCCUAUACUAAUGUACCUUGACUGCCUUAUCCGUGGCAAGAUUACGGAUGUUGACAUGCGAGUCCCCCGCAUAUGUUUCAUGGAUCAGGACAAGCUUUCCGAUCUGGCUGAUGCAGAUUUGAUAAGAAAAGGAAACGCAGAUCCAAAGACUUGGGUGUUUGGGAAGCUUCUGGUCCCAACUAUAGUUGAGCGUCUGAGCUGUAUCAAUGGUAUCCUCCCUGAUGGUCAUCAAUUUAAUGCUGAGGAAGCAGCAAACUAUAUUGAGAUGGAGAGAAUUUUAAUUAGUGAUAUGCGUGAUGGUGCUGCUCAACUAAUUCAGAGCUCGGUUCGUCUGUUGAACAACAUGAAGCGUUUCAAAACUAUGCAAGACUCUCGCUGCAAGCCAUAUGAAGAAAGUGCCAAUGUUGUUAUCAGGCAGAUUGAGCAGGAUGAGGCUGCUGGCACUGCCAACAGGACUGGUGAUGGUACUGACGCUAAUGUUUCUGACCACCAUACAAAUGAUGUUGGUUUGGAGUCCCCUGUUGUUGAUGAGACCAGUCAUGAUGUUGAGGCCGCUAUUGACUAUGGAGUUAAUGAUCCAUCUACUGAUAAGAGCAAGAUGACUGAUGUUGAGCGCGAGGCUGCCGUUAGUGUUGGAGAUGAUGCUUGUGGUGUUCCAUUGAGCAGUGGGCAUGAUGUUGGUAGCAAAGUUGCUGAUGAGGAUGUUGGUGCUGCUAGCAUACUUGAUGUCAAAUCAUCUGGUGUUGGUAUUGCUGAGAAUGAUAAUCUUUCUGAUUCUGAAGAUUUGCCGCCGGAAAAUUUCCCGCCUGAGGGCCUGAUUGCGGUGAUGCAUUGCAAGACGCAGACGUGUCUAGCAUGGAGGAGUGAAAAGCCGAUAUUUCGAAAUAGCGAAUGCGAUGCCAGUGUUGGUUCUGUUGCUAAAGCGUUUGUCCCCACUGGCAUGCUCAACUCAGACAGUGCUGAUGUUGUUUUAUUUUCUCUAACUCAGAAGUACCGAGAAACUGACAAGUUGAUAGUUCCUAGAUGGGUGACGACCAAGAUCCAUGAUGGAAAUAUUGAUGCCAAUGUGCUACAGUGGUUCACGAGAUCAGGGGCUGAUGAUUUUGACCAACUUCUUUUCCCUACUUUUGAUCUGCCGUCAUUUGCGGCUGCCAUGAAGCCUACUGAAGAAUCUGGGCAUUGGUGCUUGAUUGUUCUGAAUUUGAGGUUCCGUCGUUUCGAGUGUCUUGAUUCACUCCGCGAUGAAACCUGGAGUGAUGCAGUUAGAUUCUUAAGGAGUGAGUGGUUGGAUCUUGGUGAGCAUGACUACAUGAUCUUUGGCAGCUAG
rnacentral:rRNA from 1 species